GACGAACGCUGGCGGCGUGCUUAACACAUGCAAGUCGAACGGAAAGGCCCUGCUUUUGUGGGGUGCUCGAGUGGCGAACGGGUGAGUAACACGUGAGUAACCUGCCCUUGACUUUGGGAUAACUUCAGGAAACUGGGGCUAAUACCGGAUAGGAGCUCCUGCUGCAUGGUGGGGGUUGGAAAGUUUCGGCGGUUGGGGAUGGACUCGCGGCUUAUCAGCUUGUUGGUGGGUUAGUGGCUUACCAAGGCUUUGACGGGUAGCCGGCCUGAGAGGGUGGACGGCCACAUUGGGACUGAGAGACGGCGCAGACUCCUACGGGAGGCAGUAGUGGGGAAUAUUGCACAAUGGGCGGAAGCCUGAUGCAGCAACGCCGCGUGCGGGAUGACGGCCUUCGGGUUGUAAACCGCUUUCGCCUGUGACGAAGCGUGAGUGACGGUAAUGGGUAAAGAAGCACCGGCUAACUACGUG
rnacentral:rRNA from 1 species